UCAUCCUCACUCUCAAGAGAGAUAAGUACAGAUGUGUAAUAAAAUCUAAGCAUUUGAAUGACCAAGUAGUAACAUUGUUUCCUUUGCAAGAUUUCCAAGGAUUCAAGGAGAGUAUGUGGAUAUGCAUGAAGAGAGGUAUGUUAUGUGGACAUUGUCGAGGUUUUAUGAUCUCUGGAAUAAUAACAUUCAAUACUGCAAGUAACAUUAGUUUGUUACACUGCUAUUCAUAUUAACACUUUUUUUUUUCUUGAUCAGGGUAUGAUGAGUGAAGGCCAUUUGCCAUGACAAAAUAAGGGUGUAUCAUUCAAAUAAUUUAAAGAAUGAUCAAGAAGCAGAUAAAUUCAUCAUCAGACAAGGGUGAAUAUAUUUAGAUAUACAAAGUUGUGAAAGAAAGGCAAUAAAAUGUAGUGUGUUAGACGCAAGAAGAAAGAACAGUCAUCUGGCCCAAACAAAAAGCUAAAUGCUAACAGGCCAAAUCACAGCAAAAAUUUCAGGAGGACAGCUACAAAUUAUAUUUCGUCGUAUAACAUUCCAACAAGAUAAAGGUAUGGGGAACCAUAUAGAACACUUUGUUCAUGUUUGUUAUUUUCUAUAUCUAUAUAUUUGUUUUUUCCAUUUCCUGUAUUGCAAGUUCUUAGUAAUUGUUUUUUCCUGCAUAAACUAUGUAAACUUUAUAUCUGUUAAAACUAUCUAACCUAUUGACUUACUUGACACUAAACUUAGGAAACAGCAUCACAUUUCAUUUUAUUGAUCCUCUCAGGAUUAUUUGCUACUAUGUUGCUUUUCUGAAAUACUUGAACCUUUAAUAUGUCAAAAUACUACAUAAAGGGAUGAAAUAUGAAUUAGCAUUAUAUCCUACCUGUUCUACCUCUUUAUAAUCCUCAUGCUAAGCAGUGACAUGCUUCAUCAUUAUCAUGUUUGAUGAUAUUAGUCUAUAUAUGCCAAAGUAUCCAUUUUAUCUAUAGGAACCAUUUUACAGUAGUUUUAGUCUUCUCUUAUUUUAUAGUUAAUGGCUUGAUGUUUCUUCUCUUUGUAGAAUGUCAUAAUUUACAAUGAGCAAUGUCUAAUCGGUC
rnacentral:lncRNA from 1 species